AUGGCCAAUACCCGGUCAGGAGGGGCGAACAAUGAGGGAGCAGGGGGCACCAGUGCAAGGAAAGGCAGCGCCGCCACCAAUGCAAAAGACCCCAUGUCUGCAACGACCUCCACCUCGUCUGCCAGUGGAAGGGAGUCUAGAAGCUUGUCCACACGUGAAACAAGCGAUGAGCAGAAGCCAAACCUCAGGAGGUCGAAGCGAGAAACAAAAGGAAAGAAUCCCAUUUUGACCACCAGUUCUGCCUCUACACCUGUUUCGCAGAAAUCUAUUAGGGGCAGGAGCAACCCCAGCACACCUGGUACCCCGAAAACGUCAGCAAGGAAGCUAAAAGGGUCGACGAGGAAAGCUAGUACCCCAAGAACGUCCGACAGAGUAAAGAAAAGUACUGUUUCAGCUUCUACUGAUUCAAAUGAUUCAAAUGGAGUUUCUAGUCCAGUGGCUACUCCCGACAAAACCGUAAAAGGAGAAAUUGAUGAACAUAACUCAACAAAGAAUGAUGCUUCCGAGAGUGGUACUAUGCCAUUGAAGAAGCAGAAAAGGCUAACCGCACAGAGCUAUACAAAUCCCUUCAAGACAUCUUCUGAAGAAUAUGAAAAAUCCCCUGCCUAUGAGGGAAAUGCUUCCAAGGUGCACGCAGAAGACAAUGGCUGUGUUUUGAGGUAUGAAGAAAGUGGCGCACAUGAAGAAGAUAACCAGGCACAUUUAAGUCAAGUCGCCAAUAAAUUUUUGGAAGGCUAUACUUCUGGCCUGUGUGAAGUUCCCAAGGUGAUAUUGGAGACAGAUGGGUUGAAAUCUGAUGUUGAAAAAUCUGAAGAAGAUAAGCAGGCAUAUUUAAGUCAACGCGUCGAUAAAUUUUGGGAAGGCUAUACUUCUGGCCAGUGUGAAGCUCCCGAGGUGAUAUUGGAGACAGAUGGGUUGAAAACUGAUGUUGAAAAAUCUGCUCCCAUUUCAGAGGACUUGGUUACAUUAUCAAGUCCUGUACAGGCACAUAUGACUGCUGAUCUGUGCUCAAGCAAUCCUGCAAUGGAUGCUACAGACCCAACUGAUGACUGUUCAGAGCUAGCACUUAAUGUUGCAAUGGGCCAGAAAGCGGAUUCAUCAAAAUUUGUGGAGUAUUGGGUUCCUGCUCGCCUUUCACGAGUGCAACUAGAAGUCUACUGUUAUACCUUACUUUCAAACUCACCAGCGCUUCGAUCACAUUCAAAAACUGACAGUGUUGGUGCUCUUCGCAACAUUCUUGUAUCCCUCCGGAAGUGCUGUGACCACCCUUAUCUAGUAGAUAAAACGUUGCAUUUAUUACUUACCAAGGGACACCCAGUAACUGAUAUCCUAGAUAUUGGAGUGAGUGCAAGUGGCAAGCUACUGCUUCUUGACAAAAUGCUCCAAGAAAUCUGGAAAAAAGGGCAGAGAGUUCUUAUCCUUUCCCAGUCUUGUGGUGAGGCUGGCAAUCCAAUGGGUGACAUUUUAGAUGACUUUGUCCAUCAAAGAUUCGGGUUUGAGUCAUAUGAACGCGUGGAGCGUGAUCUCAAUGUACGAAAGAAACAGGGUGCAAUGAGUAUGUUCAAUGACACGACUAAGGGCCGGUUUAUUUUCUUGAUUGAUAGUCGUGCGUGUGUCCCAAGCAUUAAACUAUUAUCAGUUGAUGUCAUCAUCAUAUAUUGUAGUGAUUGGAAUCCCACAAAUGACUUGAGAGUCCUCCAGAAGAUCAGCAUAGAGUCACAAUCCGAGUGUGUGCCCAUUUUUCGUUUGUAUUCGUCUUGUACAGUGGAGGAAAAGGCUCUUAUACUUGCAAAGCAUGAUCAUAUUCUUGACAGCACUGUCCAGAAUAUAAGGCCUAUCCUGAGCCAUUCUCUGCUUAGCUGGGGUGCAUCAUUUCUCUUCAGUAGACUCGAAGGGCUAAAAAAUUAUGCAUGUUUACACAAGGAUUCUGAUGCUGAGAAACUGUUCAUGGAUAAAGUACUUUUGGACUUAAAGAAGUUAUCCACGAAAGAUGAUCCCAGCACUAAGAUGAGCAAUGCUGCCAUAUCACAAGCUCAUCUGAGUGGACCUUUUUAUUCUAGAGAUAGUCUUGUAGUAGGUGAGAGGGAGGGGAUCUCUGCACCUGAUAGUGAUCUGCCAAAGUUCUGGGUAGAUUUGCUAGAUCAGAAGUCUCCUCGUUGGCAGUAUAUAACUGAGCAGGCACAAAGAAGCCGUAGAAAGAUACAAAACAUGGAAGAUGGGAAAAUUCCUGCCGAUGAGGCUGAUGAAGCCAGUACCAAACGUAGAAAAAUUGCUGGAAUCUUGGAUUCAUCUGCAAAUGUUUUAGCUGGUGAAGACAAGGACUCAAUAUUGCGUGAAACUAAUACGACAUCUAGUUCUCACCGAAAAAUUGCUGGAAUCUUGGAUUCAUCUGCAAAUGUUUUAGCUGGCGAAGACAAGGACUCAAUAUUGCCUGGAACUAAUACAGCAUCUAGUUCUCAUCAAACAUCAGUUGACGACACAUGGCAGGAACAAGGGGUGGAAAAUCUUCAGGACACACAAAAAAGUCUUCACAUCCAAUUGAAGCCAGAGCUCUCAAAGUUAUAUGAAUUAUUUGAACUACCGGGGAGUGUUAAAUGUUUAUGUGAGGAACUUCUUGAGUAUACUUUGAAGAAUCACCAAGUCAGUCAGGUGCCGAAGGACAUACUGCAUGCAUUCAACAUUGCACUGUGCUGGCGUGCUGCUUCUCUCUCAAGGCAUAAGGUUGAUCAUAGAGAAUCACUGGCCCUUGCUGUAGAACACUUGAAGUAUGAGUGCAGUGAAACUCUUGCUGAGAAGGUUUAUAAGAAGCUAAGGAUCCUAAAGAAGGAGUUCUCACAUAGAGUAGGCAGAAUAAGCAAGAGUAAUCAAUCAAUUUCAGUAAAGAACAUAUCACCAUACCAGCAGGAGACCUCAACUAAAUAUGGAAGUGACAAAUCAAUCCCUAAGCAGGCAGCAUCUGUUGGUGGGAACGAAUCACAUCAAGAGGAUUCACAUGACUUAGUGAUUGAGCCUAUCGUACCAGGAGCGAAGGAAGUGCUAUAUGUUCCAGAGAUUCAUGAAAAACAACAUUUAUCAAAGGAUGCACUUCUUAAUAGAAUCACAGAGAAAAGAAUUAAAUUAGUUGACAUGGUUUUCUCCUUGAGAGAAAAGAAUAUCCAUGAUAAACAAACAAAUGAGGUCGCAAUGUUUGACAUGCACAGGCACAAGGGAGUGGACAAACUGAGAGAAGCAUGCAGAAUAGUUGUGGAACAUCUUCGUAGGUCUCAAGCUGAUCCAGAGGACAGAGGUGGUCAAACAAAGCUAAUAGUUGAAUGGUUCACUAUGCUAUUAUAUGCGUUUCUGAAGCACAUGAGGUACCAGCGUGAGAAGCUUGACUUGCAGCAAUCAAUGGUGUGGACUAAGGAGUUACAGUUGAAGGAAAAUUUCCUUCACGAAGCAAAAUUUGGCCAAUUAGAUCUUACUUUUGAUGAACAUAUUUAUUUACCAGAUUCAGGCUUUGCUAUUGAGGAGUUCAGCCACUUUAGCUCCUGUGUUGAUACAGCAACUUUGGCAAACUGUCAGCAGUCUUUGCAUGAAACCUCAGCGAUGGAAGUUACAUUGGUUCGUAGUGUGAUUCCAUCUGAUGUUAUCAAUGCAGAAGCAGCAAGAAAUGGUUCUGCUGAAGUUCUUAUCCACAAUGAGGGAAUGCCAGCAUCAGACGGUAUUGGUUUGACAGAGAACAGGACCAGCAAUAGUUUUGAUUGCAUCGACUCGCAAGGAGGGGCAUCUCUGUCUGUUCAACACCAAGUAAAUUCUAGUCCUGCAAUUGAUAAUUCUAUUAAUCAGGAAUCUUCAAGUGGUGACCGUAGAAGGACUCAACAUGUUGAGCAACAGAGUGGUGUGGCUUCGCAACCAUUACCCGGAGAGACUGACCAACAUUUAGGAGAUGCUGAAAUGGAAGUUAACACCAGCAAUGGGGACAAUACUCAGGCAGAUCCACCUUGCCUAGAACCAGAGACUCUGGCUCCUGUGCCCAGCCAGGCUUCCUUGCAAAUGUCCAAGGAAGUUGAAGCUGAGGCCAAUCUUGUACUGCAGUCAGCCCAACCAAUUGCAGCUCCAGCACAACUUCUGCAAAGAGAGGCAGAACAAGUAGACCGUUCUGGUAUGAUACCAGCUCAGACUUUGCAACCUGAAAUGGAACCAUCAGCAUCCAGGGAAGCUUAUACGCAGGCAGAUCUGAUAAUUCAGUCUGCACAACCAAGUAUGGUGCCAACUGAGCUCUCACAGAGAAAUGUAGAACAAGCAAGCCUUUAUCAUGUACCAUCAUCUCAGUGUUUGCCAUCUGGAAUGCACCCAUGGGUUCCACUAUCCAGUAUUCUGCUUGAAAGAACACACUCUGAUCAGUGUCAACCAAGUCAUCAACCCGAGGCUGCACUUGGUUCUUCAGCAAAAAUGGUGGCAUCAAUGGUGUUUAAUCAUCCACCUGUUGGUGAUGAACCACUGAAAAAUGAGUUGCACAGAUUACGGUCAUACAUUGACUCGCUUAAUAAAACCAACGAACUAAAGAAAUCACAACUUAGGACUGAGUGUAGCCAAGAAAUAGACAAGGUCAAACAAAAGUAUGAUUUGUUACUUCAAGAACAGGAUUCCACUCAUCUUCAGCAAACAAAGACAAUUGAUAAUUUAUGUGAGAAAGUUCUCCUCAACCAGUCAAUAGCUGACUAUUUUCGGGCUAAAUUCAUAUCUUCUUCUGGUGCACAAGCUAGAGCCCACAGCCCUCCAAAUCACCAGACACCCCAGGCCUCUCAGCAAGUUUCCCCGUGGCCUUCAGCGGUGGCAUCGACUGCAUCACCAGCUGCGUCGUCGUCAGCUGGUCGACCACCAGUGUUGACACAUCAUAUCCAACCAUUACAGGUCGAUCGACCAUCACCAUCAUCACCAGCUGGUCCACUACCACAUGUCCAACCAUUAAAGGUCGAUCGACCAUCACCAUCAUCACCAGCUGGUCCACUACAACAUGUCCAACCAUUAAAGGUCGAUCGACCAUCACCAACAUCAUCGCCAUCUUCGCAAGUUGUCAGACCUCGCCCCUCCAUACUUAACAACAUUGUUAGAUCACCGUCAACUACUUUUAGUCUUGCGCCAGUUCUGCCACGGGGAAGCUUUGGAGUCCAGAGUGAACUAGCACGUGCACGUGCACCUGCUCCUCAUCUUCGGCGCAGGUUGCCUCCACAGGUGCAUUCGAUGGCAUCUGCAAAUCAGCAGCAGCUUCCAACUAAGCUGGAGAGCAUGUCUGCAUGGACACGGGCUACCCCUGUGACUCCAGUAAAUAUAAGACAAUCAUGCCCACAGGCAGUUCCCCCAGGGAACCCAUCACUGUCAAGUUUGCACCCAAGUUUAUACCCCACUUUAGCCGCACUCUUGGGGCCAUCAAGUUCACAGCAAAUUCAGCAGGUUCCACUACUGCCAUCAAGUUCACAGCCAACACGCUUGUCGUCGCCAGUACCUUCAACUCCAAAUCCAGUUCUGCCACUAACAUCACCGCGAGGUUUGACUAUGACAUCUAGCGUUACCUCAGCUGCGUCGAAUGUGUUGCCAAGUAGGGGUGUUGGGCCUUCCGCAUCAGGCACGACGCAGUCAGAUUCUGAUUCAGCACGCUGGAUGAAUGGCUAA
rnacentral:rRNA from 1 species